rnacentral:misc_RNA from 1 species
GAAAUGCGAUAAGUAAUGUGAAUUGCAGAAUUCAGUGAAUCAUCGAAUCUUUGAAUGCACCUUGCGCUCCUUGGUAUUCCUUGGAGCAUGCCUGUUUGAGUAUCAUGAAAUCUUCAAAGUAAAUCUUUUGUUAACUCAAUUGGUUUCUACUUUGGUAUUGGAGGUCUUUGCAGCUCCACACCUGCUCCUCUUUGUUCAUUAGCUGGAUCUCAGUGUUAUGCUUGGUUCCACUCGGCGUGAUAAGUUAUCUAUCGCUGAGGACACUGUAAAAGGUGGCCAAGGUAAAUGCAGAUGAACCGCUUCUAAUAGUCCAUUGACUUGGACAAUACUUUUAUGAUCUGAUCUCAAAUCAGGUAGGACUACCCGCUGAACUUAAGC